rnacentral:rRNA from 1 species
UACGUAGGGUGCGAGCGUUAAUCGGAAUUACUGGGCGUAAAGCGUGCGCAGGCGGUUGGUUAAGUCUGAUGUGAAAGCCCCGGGCUCAACCUGGGAAUGGCAUUGGAAACUGUCCAGCUGGAGUGUGGCAGAGGGGGUGGAAUUCCGCGUGUAGCAGUGAAAUGCGUAGAGAUGCGGAGGAACACCGAUGGCGAAGGCAGCCCCUGGGCCAACACUGACGCUCAGGCACGAAAGCGUGGGGAGCAAACAGG